CGAAUUCCAAGCUUCGCGGCCUAUCAGCUUGUUGGUGGGGUAAUGGCCUACCAAGGCUUCGACGGGUAGCCGGCCUGAGAGGGUGACCGGCCACACUGGGACUGAGACACGGCCCAGACUCCUACGGGAGGCAGCAGUGGGGAAUAUUGGACAAUGGGCGGAAGCCUGAUCCAGCAACGCCGCGUGAGGGAUGACGGCCUUCGGGUUGUAAACCUCUUUCAGUACCGACGAAGCGCCGGUAAUGGUGGUGACGGUAGGUACAGAAGAAGCACCGGCCAACUACGUGCCAGCAGCCGCGGUAAUACGUAGGGUGCGAGCGUUGUCCGGAAUUAUUGGGCGUAAAGGGCUCGUAGGCGGUUUGUCGCGUCGGGAGUGAAAACACCGGGCUUAACUCGGUGCUUGCUUUCGAUACGGGCAGACUAGAGGCAUGCAGGGGAGAACGGAAUUCCUGGUGUAGCGGUGAAAUGCGCAGAUAUCAGGAGGAACACCGGCGGCGAAGGCGGUUCUCUGGGCAUGUCCUGACGCUGAGGAGCGAAAGUGUGGGGAGCGAACAGGAUUAGAUACCCUGGUAGUCCACACCGUAAACGUUGGGCGCUAGGUGUGGGGCCUAUUCCAUGGGUUCCGUGCCGCAGCUAACGCAUUAAGCGCCCCGCCUGGGGAG
rnacentral:rRNA from 1 species